AAGGUUUUAAGUUAAAAAAACUAGAAACCUUCAAAGUUUCCAAUAAGAAAAAUAAACUCUUAAACCUUA
rnacentral:tRNA from 1 species